UACGUAGGGCGCAAGCGUUAUCCGGAAUUAUUGGGCGUAAAGAGCUCGUAGGCGGUGUGUCGCGUCGGCCGUGAAAACCUGCAGCUUAACUGUGGGCGUGCGGUCGAUACGGGCAUCACUGGAGUUCGGCAGGGGAGACUGGAAUUCCUGGUGUAGCGGUGAAAUGCGCAGAUAUCAGGAGGAACACCGGUGGCGAAGGCGGGUCUCUGGGCAGUAACUGACGCUGAGGAGCGAAAGCGUGGGGAGCGAACAGG
rnacentral:rRNA from 1 species